UACGUAGGGGGCAAGCGUUGUCCGGAUUUAUUGGGCGUAAAGAGCGUGUAGGCGGCCAAGCAGGUCCGCUGUGAAAACUCGAGGCUCAACCUCGAGACGUCGGUGGAAACCGUUUGGCUAGAGUCCGGAAGAGGAGAGUGGAAUUCCUGGUGUAGCGGUGAAAUGCGCAGAUAUCAGGAGGAACACCGGUGGCGAAGGCGGAUCUCUGGGCCAUUACUGACGCUGAGGAGCGAAAGCGUGGGGAGCGAACAGG
rnacentral:rRNA from 1 species